AACAGAGCAGAGUCCGGUGAACCUAGACCAACGAGACAGACUAGUUCGGGAUUCUCAGAAACUCACUGUGAAGUUAUGGCCUCAUCUCUGUCCAGCCCCUCCCAUCUAACAGAGCUGGACAUGAGUGGAAACACCCUGCAGGAUUCAGCAGUGAAGCUUCUGUGUGCUGGACUGGAGAAUCCAAACUGUCGACUGGAAACUCUAAGAUUGGUGAGCUGUGGUCUGUCAGAGAUCAGCUGUGAUUAUCUGGCAGCAGCUCUGAAGUCCAACCCCUCCUAUCUGAGAGAGCUGGA